UACGAAGGGGGCUAGCGUUGCUCGGAAUCACUGGGCGUAAAGCGCACGUAGGCGGACUCUUAAGUCGGUGGUGAAAUCCUGGAGCUCAACCCCAGAACUGCCUUCGAUACUGGGAGUCUCGAGUCCGGGAGAGGUGAGUGGAACUGCGAGUGUAGAGGUGAAAUUCGUAGAUAUUCGCAAGAACACCAGUGGCGAAGGCGGCUCACUGGCCCGGUACUGACGCUGAGGUGCGAAAGCGUGGGGAGCAAACAGG
rnacentral:rRNA from 1 species